GCUGGGAUCCCGGCUGUGGUUCUGGUGCCCACAAGUGAGGAAUGGCAGCCCCAGGCUCAGAGCCAGUCAGAAAGCCAAGCAAGUGAGAGCAGAGGGAGGGCACCCUUCCAGUCUCUCUUGGGCAUGGCCGCAAAACAGCCCCUGCUGCUUCUUCCUCCGCCUGUGUUUGGGCUGUGCUGGUGGCAGAGGCAGCCAGGCUGUGCUCUGCCUUCCAGAGCCUGUUGGGAGCGGGCAUGAAAAGCGCUGUGUGCACAGCAGAGAGGCCUGGAAGGUGCUGGCAAGAGCGUCCUGCGGGAGCAGGGCUCUGGGCUCUGGCUGGGAACAGCCUGGUCUUGGUGCCGUGGGCGCAGGCAGGAGUUGAGGCAGGUGAAGAGGCACUGAGCAGCUUGUGUUUGUAGAGGGCCUGGGGCUGCACGUCUGAGCCUCCACCUGGAAAGGCACUUGGGGGAAUAGGAGCUGGAGCUGGAGUGCCUGUCCUGAAAGGACAUGAAGUCCUUCAGCCUUGCCAGCGUUUCCUAAGGGUGUGUUGGUGUUGAGCAGAAAAGCUGCACAUUUGGGGAAAUGCAUUUGGAGGACAGGGGCUUGCUUCUCAAGGAAAGUGCUUCCCAGGGAGCUCCCAGUGAGGCAGGUGCAAGUGUCCCCCUUUGGCUCUCUGUGCUCCUUUCAGUCCUUGAGGCCCGCUGCACUUGGCAGAGGGGCAGGGGAAGGGAGAAGGCUGUGAAGAGCAGGUUUGGCAUCCACCUGGACCUGCAGGGACCAACCCAAGCACCUGCAGCAGCGUGUGUUACCCCCCUUUGGACAGAGGGGUGAGCAGAACCAUCUCUGUCCAUCUGUGAGCCCCAGAGCUCUCUGUGGGAGCUGUGAAUUAAAAGGCCUUUACACACUCACUUUUCACAUCUUCCCUGUCUGCUGUGUUGCAUCUCUUGGCAAGAUGCAUUUGCCUCCUGCUUGCUGGGAGCUGCUGUGGCCCAGGGCCAGCACAGACUGGGCUGGGUGGGCCAGGCAGCGUGGUGGAGAGUCUUGGCUGAUCUUGGUGUGUGCCUGGCCUCAGAAAAGGCUUGGAAGGUUUGCCUGCCGAGGUGUCCUGCUCCUUGGCUCUCCCUGUGCAUCUUGGAGAGCACAAGGGAGGCAUUUCUGGCAGCUGGGCAUCAGCAGGCCUUCAAAUGGGGGCGUGUUGUGGAGCGAGCCCAGCUGAGAUACCCUGAGAGGAGCCCAGGGCUCCUUGCUCCUCUCUGCUGGCCCGUGAGCGUCUGUCUGCUCUCGGGAUGGCCCUGGCUGUGUCACGGGUGCUGCGUGGACACGAGACAGCCGCUCCUGUCCCGCUGGGUCCCAGCAGGGCCUGGCAGCCGUCCUGCAUCCACGUCAGGAUGCUGGCCAAGAGAGGCCCUGGAAGCUGAGGCAGCUGAUUUGAAGCUUUUGCAGGUGCCAACAGGUCAAGGCCAGCAGUGUUCCCUCAGGAUACAGCAUUCCUGAGGGGCUUCCCCAGAGCUGCCUGAUGCCACCCACUCCUUGUGGCACCAGUUGCUUUCCUGUGGAAGGUUCUACCUUCCCCAAGAGCACAGAGGGAGCUGGAGAAAGACCUGGCCAGGCUGCUCUUGAUCCUUUACCAGCAGCCCUGGGUGAGCAGAGUAGUCCCAGCUGAGCACAGAUGUGCCAAUGGAAGAGCCGUGCACGGGAAGUCUCAGUGGGAAGGAUGAUCCAGGAUCCCACCGCUGGAAGGGUGACUCUUUGCCAAUUGAGCAUCCCUGCAAUCACAGGUGGGCAGCUGAUGCAGCCAAGAGCUCCGUGAUGCCUCACCACACCCGUCGUGUUCCUGAGAGGACUCCCAGCCAAAGCUCAGCAUCACGGCCACCUCUGCCACGUGCUCCCUGAGGUGACUCCUCUGGAUAUCGAGCCCUGGAGGAGAGGUUACACCUCAGGUUUUGCCUGGCUUGAAGAGAAUAAAAAGCCCCAUUGGUGACAGCAACAUCAACAGAUGCAAACUAGGGAGUGAGUGUGGAAGUGAGCUGCCUUCACCUUUAUCUGCUGCUUUUGGACAGAUGAAUCCACACUACGGCAGAGCACUUGCAGAUUACUCUCCUUCUUCUGUGAAAGUUUGCCUAUCAGUGUAAGCGGCAUCUGGAGAUGGGAAAACUGAACUUCAGGAAAUUGGACAGGAGGCUGGCUGAAAGUGUACCAGUGCUCUACAGGGAUUUCUUGUGCAUUUUCAAGGAAGGAUUUGCGGUGUUCUAGAAUGUGCAAAUAUCGUUUGGGGCUUGUCUUGUUUUGUUUUUUAUCUCAAAUGCUUGCCAAGGAAAUCGAACUGUACAAACAUAAUUAAUAACAUUUAACCUUAAAUUCUGAGUCUUCAUUAAGUCUUAAUUUAAAAACCUUAGGAGGGAAGCUUGCAACCAUUCCUGUUCAUAAGGUUGGAUGGAAUUUGGGGCAGGUUUUAUGGCAGAAGAGGGAAAGCACUGAAAUGGGGAAAGCUCAGCAAACUGUGCUGAAGCCAGUUAGUGGUCAAGUGGUCGUGUCAUGGAUAAUGGGACAAGAUCUGGAUUCAAGGUACCUCUUGUGUGGUCAAAGCAGGCCAUGGUGGACGUGGCUCUGGGCAGCCUGAUCUGGUGGCAGGUGUCCGUGUUUGUGGGCUUGGGGUCAGAUGGGCUCUCAGGCCCCUUCCAGCACAAACCAUUCUGUGGCUAGGAAUUUAAGAAGGCUGUGGGAGAACUGGAUGGCUUGUGGGCUGAAAAAACAGGAGCUUUCCCUUUGUGUGAGAGUUACUACAAAUCAGAACGGGUUUUUUUUCAGAAUUAUUGUUUAAAGAGUAACAAAAAUUCCCCUGAAGCACAAAGAAGAGUACUCUGGGAACCUGAAAGAAGCCACCCAAUUAGAUGAUAGAAAAAAUAUCUUAUAAAGACAAAAUUGCAGAAGCAGUCAAUACAACACAAGCUUCGUAAUUGUAUUUUAUGUAACUAAA